rnacentral:rRNA from 1 species
GGGCUCGCAGGCGGUUUCUUAAGUCUGAUGUGAAAGCCCCCGGCUCAACCGGGGAGGGUCAUUGGAAACUGGGAAACUUGAGUGCAGAAGAGGAGAGUGGAAUUCCACGUGUAGCGGUGAAAUGCGUAGAGAUGUGGAGGAACACCAGUGGCGAAGGCGACUCUCUGGUCUGUAACUGACGCUGAGGAGCGAAAGCGUGGGGAGCGAACAGGAUUAGAUACCCUGGUAGUCCACGCCGUAAACGAUGAGUGCUAAGUGUUAGGGGGUUUCCGCCCCUUAGUGCUGCAGCUAACGCAUUAAGCACUCCGCCUGGGGAGUACGGUCGCAAGACUGAAACUCAAAGGAAUUGACGGGGGCCCGCACAAGCGGUGGAGCAUGUGGUUUAAUUCGAAGCAACGCGAAGAACCUUACCAGGUCUUGACAUCCUCUGACAACCCUAGAGAUAGGGCUUUCCCUUCGGGAACAGAGUGACAGGUGGUGCAUGGUUGUCGUCAGCUCGUGUCGUGAGAUGUUGGGUUAAGUCCCGCAACGAGCGCAACCCUUGAUCUUAGUUGCCAUCAUUUAGUUGGGCACUCUAAGGUGACUGCCGGUGA